rnacentral:tmRNA from 1 species
GCUCCAGGACCUGCUUAUCCUUGGUGCUCCUAAUCAGGUCGGCCGCCAACACCCCCGGGGGCAUACCCAGCCUGAUCUCCAUCUCCAUUCUCUCAUCUGUUUCUACAUCAGCGAGCCUCUUGUAAGGUACACCGGGUUUCCCAAAUGGCCAGAUACCACAGCAAUUCAUGCCUUGUAUCGCCAGAUACUGUCAGGUGUAUAUUUUCUACAGAUAUUGAUGUUAUAGACGCUGUUGUGAAUUUAAUCACACACGAGGGCGCAACUGAAUAUAAAUUCACCUCUUUGAUUCAUGACUGCUUUAGUAUUUCUGGUCUAAAAAACAUCAGCAGCAUCUCUAUGUGCCUACCUCUAAACAGGCCCAAUAAGGAAAAAAAAUACUUUGAACUGUUUAAAGUUGACAUUUCCUGCGAUGAUGCCAAACAGUUUUUGUUUAAUGGCAGGCCUCUAACCAGCGGGCAGGUAGCAUCUUGCCUAGAUUAUUCUCACCUCAAAGCUCAAAUAUUGCCAAUUUUAAAAUUGAUAAUGAGUCUAGAUAACAGAGGGGAGAAAGAGGGCACUUUUCUGGAAAUGGUUAGAUGGUACCAGUCAAAAUUAAUCAAUUUUUUGAGAAAACUGUUAAAGACAACAUCUUCCACACAAUGGUUCAUUACAACCUUUGGACAGGAUGACUUGACCUUUACCCUGGUCAUCGCCUCUUAUUACUUUUAUAAACAUGCUUGUACCGUUGAGACCCUCAUGCACUUGGCUAGACUUUUCUGCGGGGAGCUUGGACACUCUCUCAUUGAUGUGUCCAGUCUUCAGGAACUUGGGCUGUUCUUUUCCUCAAGCUCUAUCCUGGACAGUGUGCCUUUGUUUGCAGAAUAUGUAGAAACUAAACUCAACAUAGACACUCUAGAAAAUGAAAAGAUUGACCAGAUGAUUAAUGAAAUUAGGGGGGGUCUACUGCUGUCUAACAAGGACAUUGUACAAUUUGUGUACCUGGCAUUUUAUGCAUGUUUUAACAAAACUGCCUUCCUGGAAUUUAUUGGAAAGACCUCACCGGACAAUAUCAACACCUACAGUUCUGAAAUUCUUCAUCUGAAACUCUGUGAUGAAUUUUUGGAUAAAAUGUCCAGCUACUAUAACAAGGAAAAAUAUAUUCACACCCAUCUAUUGACAAAGGUUGUCCGUGUACCUGGAGCCAGCUUAGGGUCGUAUGGAGAUACCCCAGGUACUCUCCAGGCCUGGUUUGGACAGACAUCGGACCUGACAGCCUUGUUUGAUUCCAUCAACGAGGAUUUUCCUUUUUAUAGCUCAGAGUCCAGCCUGAAAGAGUUAUUGAAACUAGCAUCCUUAUCUCCACAAGAACUUGAUAACCCAAAGGACAUUCUGUUCCCAGAAAAGCCAAUUUGUCCCACGUACAGAAGUGAAUUUAAAAACAAGACUUAUUUUGUGAUGGUGGCAACAGAUUCUAUAGAAGACUACUGGAAGAAGCACGUCAUUUUCCCCCACUCAAUUAAUUUAGAUGAAUUAACAGACGUGAGAAUCACUGAACUUUUGACCUACUGUGUUAAUGGUUGCACGAGCAACACGGUUGAGGACAAUCUCAUGGUUUCCAGGCACGAAUACUUCAACCCUCAUCUGCCAAUCUAUAAUGUCAUUCUGGAUUUUGAUCUCCCAGUUGAAGUUCCAGGAUAUAAAAUUGAAGACAUAUACAAUCUGUGUCUGCAGAUUCGCCAGGACAUAAUUACUGUCCUCAGCACAAUCCUAAACCUGGAGAUGCCCCCGUCUCAUCCCGUCUAUUUCUUCAAGUCAGAGUGUAACUCUGAUAUAUAUAUGGAACCACGACCAUUUUGUACCUGCAGCAAAAAGAUUGGACUCCGAAUAAUUACACCAUUACCAAUGAGACAUGCUAUAGUUGGAGCAACACCACUAAUAACUCUAGCAAGAGUGAUAAACAGAACUAUCAGACUGAACAAAAGAGUGUGUGAACUAUUCCCCUCAAUCUCUUCAACAGAGUUUUUAUUUGACACGGGUAUCUACAGCCAGGGUCGCUGCAUUCGCCUGCCACACACCUACAAAUUUACAUCUACAGGAUUGCCUGAGAGACUGCUAAAAUUGUUUGUCUGUCACCCAUUUCCAGAUAAGACCUCCUAUGUCAAGAACAGCUUCGUGCUGACAAACCUUUUGUAUCACAGUACCAGUGAGGAUCUAAGAUCUGGAGAUUAUAAUCUAAUAUUGGACAUUCGUGAUAAAGAUGAGGAUUUUUUAUCCUGCAAGACUGUGGCCAGCUUACCAAAAAAUUCUCUAGAUAUUGACAAACUGGAAGAUAUUUUGGGGUGCCCGGUCCAGUCCUGGAUAGACACCACCUUGUGGCCAUUGUUUUGUGAGCAGUUAGUCAAAUAUCUGCCACAGAAAAAUGCAAAUGAACUAAACAACAUUUCAUUUAACGUUGUGUCUAACAACAUGCUACAACUGAAACCUCGCAGAGGUCCAGGCUUCUCCUGUCUGACUCAUCAACACAGAACAAAAUCACAUAAUGUGAGGCUUUUCAUAACCCUGGGAAAGUUCUCACGUGACGUCAUAACUGCAACACUUAUGAGUCAAUGCUUUGCCAAUAAGUGCAACAACAAUAAGCCUGUGACACAUUGCACCGUGCAUGCUCGAGUGUAGAGGACUCUCCGAUCCUGGGCACCAUACAGUACCCACAGCUCGCAGAAUGGCACAGCAGAUGUUGGAGGCGGGCGCGCUGGACCAAAUGAUGGAAGGACUACCAUCUGAUUUUGACUUUGAUACAUCUGAUGAAGAAGGUGAGCUCUCAGAUUCUCCACCAGUUGAGGAGCCAACGGGGCCAGUCCGGGAUGUGGUGUACGAACCUGACCCACUCUUCGACGACCCACCACCAACACCCUCGCCAGACGUCAAGCCACCUUCUCCAAAGGCUAGAAAGCGCGCCCUGUCUCCUGAAAUUGUCCACAACUCUCCUCUGCUUAGAGAUACAACAAAGUAUGAGCCUGCACCCAAAAGAAGCUAUUCUUACCACCCCAGACGCAGUCCACAGAGAGAAAAUGCUAACCAGAAGCAGAAAAGGGGACCAGACUCACGAAGACCAAACAGAUGGAACCAGAAAAGCCAGAAACAAUAUUGGUCCCCCAAACCUCUUCUGGAUUACAGCAAAAUUCCAAGAGCAGAGUACAAAAAUGCCAAACUGUUGGUGCCUACAACUGGUAAACUGCGCCCAGAGUUCUAUACUGAUCGGUUUGUGGAUGCUAUAAUUCAGAACGCUGCCAGAAAUUGUCCAGUGUCUGAAAAGGCGGUAUCACUAAAAAAUAUUGAAGAGUCUUUCAAACUGCUUAACUCUUUCUUUAACAGUGGAAUAAAUAAGGAUCAUUGGCUAUCUACAAGGUAUUUUGCAAUCUUCAACAACGGCCUGGUGGUGCUGACCCACAUGCUAGACGAACAGUUGGCCUGGGCAUAUGCUUGCCUGAAACACGGUAGGGAGUUGCCCACUGACGACAUACUCAUGUCUACUUCAGAAAAAUUGUCCCAACAGCUUGUGAUAAAACUCAUAGAGGUGAUAAAAUGUAUAGAAAAGGAUGGAAUAUUCAGCAGGAUCCUCAAAGGUGUGGCAGAUGCGGUAUGCCUUAAGGCCCAGUUCUUACGUGGUAUGAUCACCCUGAAGAGAACCCCUUGCAGCCUUCCCAUGUAUACCCUGUUUGUUUAUGUACUGACUAUUCCCACUCUGAGAACACGUGUAAUCAGGGACCCUCUGCUGACACAGUGUAAGGAUGUGGUCCUAAAGUAUCAGCCAGGCGACUGUAUAACCCUAUUGAAAGCUGCACUAAAUUGUCAUCAGUGUAACAAAGACUGUGAUAAAUGUAAAUAUAUUUUGGAUCCCCUGUUGGGACAAACACACCGCACCAAGGGGGUAUUUUUUGUGUGUGAAUAAUCAAUAAUAAACACAAUUGAACUGCA